CCCAAAAACCAUCAACUCUUCUACUCUCUCUCUCCAAAAUCGUGUAACCCAAACACCCCUCACACCAACUUCAUUUCAAUUUUCAAAUACAAGAAUUCAUGCACUUAUGGAAGUCUAUGGAUGAAACAAUCUUCAUGGGUGUUUAGAAAAGCUAGAUGGAGCCUUUGGGUGGAACUUGAAGCUUUGGAUCAACAAGAUUUCUUAUCAUCAUCUUUGUUUCUUUGCAAAAAUUAUUAGUGGACGGCUUCGGA
rnacentral:lncRNA from 1 species